rnacentral:lncRNA from 1 species
CGAGCAUUUACUAAAACUCCAUAACCUUAUUACAUCAUCGAGUUGCACAGAAAAACAACAUAGACUAGAAACUGUAUAAAUUAAUACUCGAUAAAUUAAUACACAAUAAAUUAAUAAUCUUCUCCUGUCCAAACUGGUUCAAAAUAUGAUACAAAUCGAUAAAAUAAUAAAAUAAUAUUUUUUUAAAAAAAUUCUAGAUAAAUAUAUAGUCACAUUAAAAUUAUAAAUUAAUAAUUUAUCUGUAUAUAUUUUUUAUAUUUACAAAUAAAAUAUUAUAUUAAAUUAACACUUAAUAUAUUUUGAUGAGAUUUAGUAAAACUAUAUCUAAAACCACAUUUAAAAUCUAUGAAACAUAUUUUAUAUGCACCAAAUAAUAUAAUAAAAACAAGAUGAAUGUUGAAUUUCAAAAAAUUAAUUAAUUUAUAUACAAAAAUAAAAUAUUUUCUUAUUUUUUUAAAAAUAUUAUAUUUAAGAUGAACAAAUUCUAAAAAAAUUGAAUAAGAUAGAAAAAUUUAAAAAUAUUUUUUUUUCUAAAUUAAUAACUUUUUAAAUUAGUAAAAUCUCAUAGUCCCAUUAUUAUAAAUUUAUAGUUUUAUUGUAUCUAAACCAUAAUUUUUUACAGAGAAUAAUAUCUCACCACACACAA